rnacentral:rRNA from 1 species
UGGGGUGCAGCAGGCGCGAAAACUCCGCAAUGCGCGAAAGCGUGACGGGGCUAUCCCGAGUGCCGUCCGCUGAGGAUGGCUUUUCCACGGUGUAAGGAGCCGUGGGAAUAAGGAGAGGGCAAGCCUGGUGUCAGCCGCCGCGGUAAAACCAGCUCUCCGAGUGGUAGGGACGAUUAUUAGGCUUAAAGCGUCCGUAGCCGGCUCGGUAAGUCUCUCGUUAAAUCCAGCGACCUAAUCGUUGGACUGCGAGAGAUACUGUUGGGCUAGGGGGCGGGAGAGGCCGACGGUAUUCUCGGGGUAGGGGUGAAAUCCUAUAAUCCCGGGAGGACCACCAGUGGCGAAGGCGGUCGGCUAGAACGCGCUCGACGGUGAUGGACGAAAGCUGGGGGAGCGAACCGGAUUAGAUACCCGGGUAGUCCCAGCUGUAAACGAUGCGGGCUAGGUGUUGGGGGGGCUACGAGCCUCUUCAGUGCCGCAGCGAAGGCAUUAAGCCCGCCGCCUGGGGAGUACGGCCGCAAGGCUGAAACUUAAAGGAAUUGGCGGGGGAGCACCACAAGGGGUGAAGCUUGCGGUUUAAUUGGAGUCAACGCCGGGAACCUUACCGGGGGCGACAGCAGGAUGAAGGCCAGAUUGAACGUCUUGCUAGACGAGCUGAGAGGGUGGUGCGUGGCCAA